rnacentral:rRNA from 1 species
UACGGAGGGUCCGAGCGUUAAUCGGAAUUACUGGGCGUAAAGCGCGCGUAGGUGGAUUGGUCAGUCAGAUGUGAAAGCCCAGGGCUCAACCUUGGAACUGCAUCUGAUACUGCUAGUCUAGAAUACAGUAGGGUAGGUGGUGAAUUUCCUGUGUAGCGGUGAAAUGCGUAGAUAUAGGAAGGAACACCAGUGGCGAAGGC